UACGUAGGUGGCAAGCGUUGUCCGGAUUUAUUGGGCGUAAAGGGCGCGCAGGCGGUUCGUUAAGUCCGAGGUGAAAUCUCCCGGCUCAACUGGGAGGGGUCUUCGGAUACUGGCGGACUUGAGGAGAGCAGAGGUGAGCGGAAUUCUCGGUGUAGUGGUGAAAUGCGUAGAUAUCGAGAGGAACACCAGCGGCGAAGGCGGCUCACUGGGCUCCACCUGACGCUGAGGCGCGAAAGCGUGGGGAGCAAACCGG
rnacentral:rRNA from 1 species